UACGUAGGGUGCAAGCGUUUGUCCGGAAUUAUUGGGCGUAAAGAGCUCGUAGGCGGUCUGUUGCGUCCGCUGUGAAAACUCGGGGCUUAACCCCGAGCCUGCAGUGGAUACGGGCAGACUAGAGGUAGGUAGGGGAGAAUGGAAUUCCUGGUGUAGCGGUGGAAUGCGCAGAUAUCAGGAGGAACACCGAUGGCGAAGGCAGAUCUCUGGGCCGUGAACUGACGCUGAGGAGCGAAGACGUGGGGAGCGAACAGG
rnacentral:rRNA from 1 species